rnacentral:snRNA from 1 species
GUGCUCGCUUUAGGAGCACGUGUACUAAAAUUGGAACUAUACAGAGAUUAGUGUGACCCCUGUGCAAGGAUGAGACGCAAAUCCAUGAAGUGUUCCAUAUGAAA